rnacentral:rRNA from 1 species
UACGUAGGGGGCGAGCGUUGUCCGGAAUCAUUGGGCGUAAAGGGCGCGUAGGCGGGUCAUUAAGUCUGGUGUGAAAGGCAGGGGCUCAACCCCUGGAAGGCACCGGAAACUGGUUAUCUUGAGGACAGGAGAGGAAAGCGGAAUUCCACGUGUAGCGGUGAAAUGCGUAGAUAUGUGGAGGAACACCAGUGGCGAAGGCGGCUUUCUGGACUGUAACUGACGCUGAGGCGCGAAAGCGUGGGGAGCAAACAGGAUUAGAUACCCUGGUAGUCCACGCCGUAAACGAUGAGUGCUAGGUGUAGAGGGUAUCGACCCCUUCUGUGCCGCAGUUAACACAAUAAGCACUCCGCCUGGGGAGUACGGCCGCAAGGUUGAA